GACGAACGCUGGCGGCGUGCUUAACACAUGCAAGUCGAACGGAAAGGCCCUGCUUUUGUGGGGUACUCGAGUGGCGAACGGGUGAGUAACACGUGAGUAACCUGCCCUUGACUUUGGGAUAACUUCAGGAAACUGGGUCUAAUACCGGAUAGGAGCUCCUGCUGCAUGGUGGGGGUUGGAAAGUUUCGGCGGUUGGGGAUGGACUCGCGGCUUAUCAGCUUGUUGGUGGGGUAGUGGCGUACCAAGGCUUUGACGGGUAGCCGGCCUGAGAGGGUGACCGGGCACAUAGGGACUGAGAGACGGCCCAGACUCCUACGGGAGGCAGAAGUGGGGAAUAUUGCACAAUGGGCGGAAGCCUGAUGCAGCAACGCCGCGUGCGGGAUGACGGCCUUCGGGUUGUAAACCGCUUUCGCCUGUGACGAAGAGUGAGAGACGGUAAUGGGUAAAGAAGAACCGGCUAAAUACGUG
rnacentral:rRNA from 1 species